rnacentral:rRNA from 1 species
CUGCGAGUGAAGCGGGAAAAGCCCAUCGUUGAAUCUCCCUGGCCCAAGGUCAGGGCGAGUUGUGACGGUAUGGAUUGGUAUUCUAGCAUGAAACUCCGGCCAAAGUCUUCCGGAUUGAGGCGCCAGAGAGGGUGGAAGCCCCGUAUGUGGCCGGAGGGAAAUGUGCAUGUUGCCAAUUCCUAGAGUCGGGUUGUUUGGGAUUGCAACCUAAAGCAGGUGGUAAACUCCACCUAAGGCUAAAUAUAGACACGAAACCGAUAGCGAACAAGUACCGUGAGGGAAAGUUGAAAAGAACCCUGAAAAGAGAGUUAAAAGUACGUGAAACCGCUAACGGGGAAGCGGAAGGCAGUGUCGAGACUGGGCGUGGUGGGCUUUCAAUUGAGGGAGUCAGCUGCGUUCGGUGCGUCAGGCCUGUCGGUGGUCGCGGUGAAAUUUUGCACGGCGGCAACAACAUCUUAGGAAGUUGAUGUCGCGGCUGGAGGGAUCCGUGUGUGCUGGCAAGUGAAUAAUCGUGUAGAGAGCAGGAGGCACUGCGUGGCGUUCAAAGUUUGGAUGCGACGUAGGAGUUUGUUGUUCCC